UAAUAUCUUGACCAUGGACCUUGAUCUC
rnacentral:piRNA from 1 species